rnacentral:lncRNA from 1 species
UAAUUUAUUAAUUAUUCUGUCUUACAUUUAAAAUUUAUUUUAAAUGCAAAUAAUAAUAAUAAUAUGUUGUAUUGAAAAAUAUAUAACACAAAUACCCUUGACAAAUUUAUUUAAGAAACCUUAAAUAAGGACAAAAUAGACAUUUUACACUUUGCACCAUUUUGGUGCAAAGUGAAUAUAAUGUUCACUUUGUGUCAUUUUGCAAAAUGGUGCAAAAUUUGAUAUUGCAUUGGAGCAACUUUACACCAAAAAAUGAUGCAAUGGUGCAAUCAUUGGAGAUGUCUUUAGAUUACUGGAUUCCCCAUCAAAAAUUUGGAUCAGCAAUCACUAUACCAGGAUUUCUUGGGUUCUCCAAUCAACACAAGACUUAUGAAUAAUGCGCCUGCUGAGAGUCCCUACUCUAUUUGAGAUUCUGCAGUCGGAAUUUCUGGGUUGCAGUGGUCAAAGACGAGAGAUGAAUGACUCAAGUAAUUGGUUUUACCUGCCUUAUUUUCUCUACUGAACACUCUUGCCGAAGAAAAGCUUCCCGCAGGGCCACUUGAAAAUUUUGGACAAAAAGCAAGUUUUAACAUGGGCACAAGGCAAACAGAGAAGACGUUUCUUGUCUUUAAUCAAACCCAUGAUAAAACAACCUUGAUUAUCAGUUCCAUGGUUGAGGCUAUUAAUUUAAUUUUAGCCCUUCGACUAAAUUUAUUUGUACUCGUGACAUUUUGAAAUAAAAAUAAAAAUUUGUUUUUUUCAAUAAAUAUUUGUAGUAAUUUGAGCUUGCAUUUUGUUCAUGGAUCAACUUGAUAUUAUAAAUCAAGUGUUUAAG